rnacentral:rRNA from 1 species
UGGCGGCAGUAGCGCGGUGGUCCCACCUGACCCCAUGCCGAACUCAGAAGUGAAACGCCGUAGCGCCGAUGGUAGUGUGGGGUCUCCCCAUGC